rnacentral:lncRNA from 1 species
CGGCGAUUGUGAAUAUAAAGGAAGAUGUGGUUUUUUGUAACAGAGGUAACUGUUGUGGUGGUGAUGGCCAUGUUAAUGGUGGAUGACAAGAUGCAUGUACAUAGAAAAAUAAUCUUUAUACAAGAAGAAAGUUUAAACCUAAUGGAUCCGAUUAUAUGGAGUAGAAGGAUGAAGAAGCAAAGGAAGAGAAAAAGGAGGAGGAGGAAGGAGGAGGAGGAAAGAGGAGGAAGAGGGCGAUGAUGAGGAGAAGAUGAAGAUAGGAAAAGAGGGAAAAAUAGAUAUUAUCAACUACAUUCUAUUCUAUAAAUUCCAAAUAUAAUUGAAUACAACAAAAGAGAAUAGUAUAUUAAAUUUGGGCAGUAAAAUAGAAUAGUAACUAUAUUAUCUUUAAUAAUUAUUAUGAAAGAUAAAAAUUAUUAGAGACAAAAGAGCAGGAGGGGAAGGAGGAUACAUUGCAAAGUUACAUUUCUAUUUUAUGUAGAUGAGUAAUAUAAAAUAGAAUAUACUGCAUAAAUUCUGAUUUUCACUGUCGCUUGUUGAGCCGUAAAAUAAUUAAUCACUAGAAUUCUCACAUGAUUCACCUAGAUUUUCAUCUCCCCUCGUUUGAUCGUCAUCAUCGAGGAAGAUGGCUAUAUUUUUUUGGCGACUAGCAACUAACUUUCUCUUUUCAGAACAAUUAAUUGUCUUUUCAUGGUGGUCGUGACUGCGGUGGCUAUGAUGGUGGUGGCCAGGUGAUUACGGAAGAGGUGAUUGUGAUUACGAAAAGGUGAUAGUGGUUACAAAGAAAGAUGUGGUUGGUGAAGAAGUGGUGGUUGAUAUUAUUAUGGAGGAGGCGGUGUUGGUGAUUGCUAAUGAAAGAAAAUAUGUUUU